rnacentral:rRNA from 1 species
GGAGGGUGCAAGCGUUAUCCGGAUUUAUUGGGUUUAAAGGGUCCGUAGGCGGAUGUGUAAGUCAGUGGUGAAAUCUCGCAGCUUAACUGCGAAACUGCCAUUGAUACUGCAUGUCUUGAGUAAAUUUGAAGUGGCUGGAAUAAGUAGUGUAGCGGUGAAAUGCAUAGAUAUUACUUAGAACACCAAUUGCGAAGGCAGGUCACUAAGAUUUAACUGACGCUGAUGGACGAAAGCGUGGGGGGAGCGAACAGGAUUAGAUACCCUGGUAGUCCACGCCCGUAAACGAUGCUAACUCGUUUUUUGUGCUUCGGCAUGAGAGACUAAGCGAAAGUGAUAAGUUAGCCACCUGGGAGUACGUUCGCAAGAAUG